rnacentral:rRNA from 1 species
GACUGUUACUGACACUGAGGCACGAAAGCGUGGGGAGCAAACAGGAUUAGAUACCCUGGUAGUCCACGCCGUAAACGAUGAGCACUAGGUGUCGGGGUCGCAAGACUUCGGUGCCGCAGUUAACGCAUUAAGUGCUCCGCCUGGGGAGUACGCACGCAAGUGUAAAACUCAAAGGAAUUGACGGGGACCCGCACAAGCAGCGGAGCAUGUGGUUUAAUUCGAAGCAACGCGAAGAACCUUACCAGGACUUGACAUCCUCUUGACAGAUCCUUAAUCGGAUUCUUCUUCGGACAAGAGAGACAGGUGGUGCAUGGUUGUCGUCAGCUCGUGUCGUGAGAUGUUGGGUUAAGUCCCGCAACGAGCGCAACCCUUGCCAUUAGUUGCCAUCAUUUAGUUGGGCACUCUAGUGGGACUGCCGGGGAAAACUCGGAGGAAGGUGGGGAUGACGUCAAAUCAUCAUGCCCCUUAUGUUCUGGGCUACACACGUGCUACAAUGGCCGGUACAACAGGCAGCGAACCCGUGAGGGGGAGCGAAUCCCAAAAGCCGGUCCCAGUUCGGACUGUAGGCUGCAACUCGCCUACACGAAGUUGGAGUUGCUAGUAAUCGCGGAUCAGAAUGCCGCGGUGAAUGCGUUCCCGGGUCUUGUACACACCGCCCGUCACACCAUGGAAGUUGGGGGUGCCCGAAGUCGGUUAUUUAAUCUAUCGCCUAAGGCAAAACCAAUGACUGGGGUGAAGUCGUAACAAGGUAGCCGUAUCGGAAGG